rnacentral:rRNA from 1 species
UACGUAGGGUGCAAGCGUUAAUCGGAAUUACUGGGCGUAAAGCGUGCGCAGGCGGUUGUGCAAGACAGAUGUGAAAUCCCCGGGCUUAACCUGGGAAUUGCAUUUGUGACUGCACGGCUAGAGUGUGUCAGAGGGGGGUAGAAUUCCACGUGUAGCAGUGAAAUGCGUAGAUAUGUGGAGGAAUACCGAUGGCGAAGGCAGCCCCCUGGGACAACACUGACGCUCAUGCACGAAAGCGUGGGGAGCAAACAGG